rnacentral:rRNA from 1 species
AACGCUGGCGGCGUGCUUAACACAUGCAAGUCGAACGAGACGAUUUUAAGCUUGCUUAGAUGAGUCGAGUGGCAAACGGGUGAGUAACGCGUAGACAACCUGCCGCAAAGAUGGGGACAACAGUUCGAAAGGACUGCUAAUACCGAAUGUUGUAUCUUUCUCGCAUGGGAGAGAUAUUAAAGAUGGCCUCUACUUGUAAGCUAUCGCUUUGCGAUGGGUCUGCGUCUGAUUAGCUAGUUGGUGGGGUAACGGCCUACCAAGGCGACGAUCAGUAGCCGGUCUGAGAGGAUGAACGGCCACAUUGGAACUGAGACACGGUCCAGACUCCUACGGGAGGCAGCAGUGGGGAAUCUUCCGCAAUGGGCGAAAGCCUGACGGAGCAACGCCGCGUGAGUGAAGAAGGGUUUCGGCUCGUAAAGCUCUGUUGACGGGGACGAAUGUGCGAAAUGCGAAUAGUUUUUCGCAAUGACGGUACCCGUCGAGGAAGCCACGGCUAACUACGUGCCAGCAGCCGCGGUAAUACGUAUGUGGCGAGCGUUGUCCGGAAUUAUUGGGCGUAAAGGGAG